AUUUCUAAAUUAGAUAAGAUGAAUAGUAAUUACAUGAUCUCUAGCUAGAUUCAACUAUAUAAACAACGUAAGAAAUUUCAUAUACCUCACAGCAAAUUAACUUCAAAUAUAUAUCCUUUAGUUCUUCUUGUCUUUAGCCAGGGUACAAAAUAUGAAGGGUACAAUAGUUAUGAGGUUCAUUGUGGUUGUUUUAGUUAUGUUGGUGAUGACUUCUAGCUUGGCCACGAGCAGAAAAUUAAUCGACAAUAAAGAAGACGAUGAUAAUGGUGUUUGGCAGGAAGGAAGUACAAAUGUGAAUAAUCACCAUUAUAAACCUAGGCAAGACUUCAACAAU